rnacentral:rRNA from 1 species
GAUGAACGCUAGCUACAGGCUUAACACAUGCAAGUCGAGGGGAAACGACAUUGAAAGCUUGCUUUUGAUGGGCGUCGACCGGCGCACGGGUGAGUAACGCGUAUCCAACCUGCCCACCACUUGGGGAUAACCUUGCGAAAGUAAGACUAAUACCCAAUGACGUCUCUAGAAGACAUCUGAAGGAGAUUAAAGAUUUAUCGGUGAUGGAUGGGGAUGCGUCUGAUUAGCUUGUUGGCGGGGUAACGGCCCACCAAGGCGACGAUCAGUAGGGGUUCUGAGAGGAAGGUCCCCCACAUUGGAACUGAGACACGGUCCAAACUCCUACGGGAGGCAGCAGUGAGGAAUAUUGGUCAAUGGGCGAGAGCCUGAACCAGCCAAGUAGCGUGCAGGAAGACGGCCCUAUGGGUUGUAAGCUGCUUUUAUAAGGGAAUAAAGUGGGAGUCGUGACUCCUUUUGCAUGUACCUUAUGAAUAAGGACCGGCUAAUUCCGUGCCAGCAGCCGCAGUAA